UACGGGGGGAGCAAGCGUUGUUCGGAUUUACUGGCGUAAAGGGCGCGUAGGCGGCCACCGCAAGUCAGUUGUGAAAUCUCUGGGCUUAACCCAGAACGGUCAGCUGAUACUGUGCGGCUAGAGUGCGGAAGGGGCGAACUGGAAUUCUUGGUGUAGCGGUGAAAUGCGUAGAUAUCAAGAGGAACACCUGCGGCGAAGGCGGGUUGCUGGGCCGACACUGACGCUGAGGCGCGAAAGCCAGGGGAGCGAACGGG
rnacentral:rRNA from 1 species